AAGAUAACCUUUCUUUAGAUGCUGUUUUAUGAACCAUUUGCAAUCACCUGGAGACUAGAUGAGUUUGAGGUUGCCACUUCAGUGAUUGCGUAAUCAAUUGAGAAAAAUUGCACAGACUGGGAAAGGAGACUAACAAUUGAAACAAUAAUAAAAUGAAAUAAAAGGAAGCGGAGAAGUCAAGCCAUUAUUCCUUAGGGAGGAAUGGAGAAGCAUCACUUUGGAAAGGCAGAAUGAUACUGGUCAUAGAAACAAAACGAGGUAGGAGACGGAAUAUCCCCUGCUCUGGAUCAGAGAGCGUGAUGGGGCCAUCUAGUUGCGGGAAAAGAAGCUCAGGGCUCCCACUGAUUCUGCAUUAUGCAGGAAGAGUAAGACUUCCUUUUGAAGGAGAUUUGCACAUACACUAUAGAAGACACCCAUUUAGUUCUUGGGAAGAUGGAGUUGGAAGUGUCCGCUGCUUGUGAACAGCUCAACAGCAUGGAGUCCUCCAGGUUGGUGCAUCUCUAAACUUGACCCACCUGGAGAUCCAUGGUGUCGAACAAUGAACUUUCCAAACCAGCAAGGCCUCCAUAAAGUGAAGGGAGAUCCUCUUCACCACCGUUGGUUGAAGAAUAAAAAACCUACACCUACACUAGCCCAAAUGAGUUUCUGUUGUUUGUCUUCUGUGUCAGAAUUUCAUUCAUUCAUUUCCCAUCUCUGGCCUAUUGUUUAAAGUUGCUGGCCAUAAUGUAUACUUUCCAGACUCCAGGUUAAUCCCAGGCUGAGAAGCUUUGUUUGUUUGAUAAUGAAAAACUGAACAAGGAAACAAGCAAAAACUUGCAAAUAAUGUGUACCUUAUCAUAAACAUCCAAAGAGUACAAAAUUCUGUGCUCUGCAGUUGCUGUAUAACAAACAUAUUAAAUUGUACUUGAUUGAGCAAAUAUUUACAUCUUACUGUGGAAUUUCAAAGUUUAAUGUCUACACGUCUUAUUAAGGUUGUUAUCUAUUAUUGUAUGGUGGAGAAAGGAUAUCUAGCUGAUAGUCAUGUUUAAAAACUGACCUGGGUUUGGGACUGCAACCAAAUUCUAAGGGCCUAGCUGUUUAUGAUUUGCCCAUUCCAUUCAGGGUCGUCCUAAUCCCUUCUCAAUCUAAGAUGCUUCAUUCUCACUAUAGUUUGCUCGAGAAAGAAAGUGGCUGCUUAUGGUAUGAGUUCAUAAGAGUCAUCUAGGAUUGUGUUUAAUACCCUAUCCCACCAGCUUCUAAUUUUUACGUGCAUUUAAUUGGGGCUAUAUUUGUUAGUUUUCAAUUAGAAAGAGACAGAUAAAAAGUAAACUGCACACAUUAUCAGAGGAUGCUAUAGCUUACCUUCUCACUUAUUAUGAAUUUGCCACCUAAAUUCAAACUCUUCUGAAAUUUAUACCAAUUAUUAAUUCUGAAAGCAAUUCUGAUUAUCUUAAUAACUAGCAACUGACUGCAAACAUAGAAGGAUAGCUAGGUGGAUAGAUGGAUGGAUGGAUGGAUGGAUGGAUGGAUGGAUGGAUGGAUAGAUAGAUCGAUAGAUAGAUAGAUGAGUUUAAAAGGAAGAUCACAGAAUCAAUGUUAGUAGUUAACAAUUAUUUUUAUAUUUUGUUUUGAGAGUAGGCUUUGAUGGAGCCUAAUGAAAGCCAUAGAAGAAGCUAAGGGGAGGCUGGACUGUUAUAAACAACCCUUCACUUAUCUAAUACAAUUUAACUAAGCUUAUCAUUUUUUUUUAUAGAAAGAGAAAUUGAUCAGAAUCUACUGACAGUUCUUCCUGUCUGGCUGUGUAAUGGAUUAGCAUAGAGACGAGCAGCACACCUCUGUCAGAAAACCU
ensembl:lncRNA novel transcript, antisense to CHRM2